UACGAGGGGGGCGAGCGUUGUUCGGAAUUAUUGGGCGUAAAGGGUGCGUAGGCGGUUUUGUAAGUCUUAUGUGAAAUCUAUGGGCUCAACUCAUAGACUGCAUGAGAAACUGCAGGGCUUGAGUAUGGGAGAGGUGAGUGGAAUUCCUGGUGUAGCGGUGAAAUGCGCAGAUAUCAGGAAGAACACCCGUGGCGAAGGCGGCUCUCUGGUACGUGACUGACGCUGAGACGCGAAGGCGUGGGGAGCGAACAGG
rnacentral:rRNA from 1 species